AGUCUUAUAUUCUAAAAAAUGAUUUUAAAUUGCAAAUUUAAAGAUAGAGAAAUCUUAAGGCUU
rnacentral:tRNA from 1 species